rnacentral:rRNA from 1 species
GAUCAUGGGCUCAGGAUGAACGCUAGCGGCAGGCUUAACACAUGCAAGUCGAGGGGCAGCAUAAUGGAUAGCAAUAUCUAUGGUGGCGACCGGCGCACGGGUGCGUAACGCGUAUGCAACCUACCUUUAACAGGGGGAUAACACUGAGAAAUUGGUACUAAUACCCCAUAAUAUCAUAGAAGGCAUCUUUUAUGGUUGAAAAUUCCGAUGGUUAGAGAUGGGCAUGCGUUG